rnacentral:rRNA from 1 species
GAUGAACGCUAGCUACAGGCUUAACACGUGCAAGUCGAACGGGACUUGUUAAGUUGAAACUUCGGCCGAUUCUUUUCAAGUCUAGUGGCGGACGGGUGAGUAACGCGUGGGUAACCUGCCUCACACUGGGGGAUAACAGUCAGAAAUGACUGCUAAUACCGCAUAAGCGCACAGCAUCGCAUGAUGCAGUGUGAAAAACUCCGGUGGUGUGAGAUGGACCCGCGUUGGAUUAGCUAGUUGGCAGGGCAGCGGCCUACCAAGGCGACGAUCCAUAGCCGGCCUGAGAGGGUGAACGGCCACAUUGGGACUGAGACACGGCCCAG